rnacentral:rRNA from 1 species
AUUGAACGCUGGCGGCAUGCCUUACACAUGCAAGUCGAACGGUAACAGGUCUUCGGAUGCUGACGAGUGGCGAACGGGUGAGUAAUACAUCGGAACGUGCCCGAGAGUGGGGGAUAACGAGGCGAAAGCUUUGCUAAUACCGCAUACGAUCUCAGGAUGAAAGCAGGGGACCGCAAGGCCUUGCGCUCACGGAGCGGCCGAUGGCAGAUUAGGUAGUUGGUGGGAUAAAAGCUUACCAAGCCGACGAUCUGUAGCUGGUCUGAGAGGACGACCAGCCACACUGGGACUGAGACACGGCCCAGACUCCUACGGGAGGCAGCAGUGGGGAAUUUUGGACAAUGGGCGCAAGCCUGAUCCAGCCAUGCCGCGUGCAGGAUGAAGGCCUUCGGGUUGUAAACUGCUUUUGUACGGAACGAAAAGACUCCUUCUAAUAAAGGGGGUCCAUGACGGUACCGUAAGAAUAAGCACCGGCUAACUACGUGCCAGCCGCCGCCGUAAUAC